rnacentral:rRNA from 1 species
UACGUAGGUGGCAAGCGUUAUCCGGAAUUAUUGGGCGUAAAGCGCUCGCAGGCGGUUUCUUAAGUCUGAUGUGAAAGCCCACGGCUCAACCGUGGAGGGUCAUUGGAAACUGGGAGACUUGAGUGCAGAAGAGGAGAGUGGAAUUCCACGUGUAGCGGUGAAAUGCGUAGAGAUGUGGAGGAACACCAGUGGCGAAGGCGGCUCUCUGGUCUGUAACUGACGCUGAGGAGCGAAAGCGUGGGGAGCAAACAGG